UAGAACAGAAGUCUGGCAUGGCAUGGCGUGGCAUGGAUUCUUUGCUCAGAAUCUCACAAAGCCAAAAUCAAGGUGUUGGUAGGGCUGCAUUCCUUUUUGGCGGCUAUUGGGAAGAAUCUGUAUCCAAGCUGUAUCCAAGAUUGACUGGGCAGUUCUUCUACUGGUCUUGCUCAGAUUCCCUCACAGAGCUGGUUCUACUGGAGCUGGAGAGUCUAAGAUGGUCUCACCAUCAUGUUUGGGACCUUGACAGGGAUGAUUGCAAAGGUUUAUGUAACAAUGCGAAGGAGGCAAAGCAAAUCGAUGGUGUUCCUUGGCUGUGCAUGGUAGGUCCUUUCUUUUUUUUUUUUUUUUAAUUUAUUUUUUUAUUGAUAAUUCUUGGGUGUUUCUCACAGAGGGGGAUUUGGCAAGGUCAUGGGACAAUAGUGAAGGGAAGGUCAGCAGAUAAACAAGUGAACAAAAGUCUCUGGUUUUCCUAGGCAGAGGACCCUGUGGCCUUCCACAGUGUUUGUGUCCCUGAUUACUUGAGAUUAGGGAGUGGUGAUGACUCUUAACGAGCAUGCUGCCUUCAAACAUCUGUUUAACAAAGCACAUCUCGCACUGCCCUUAAUCCAUUUAACCCUGAGUGGACACAGCACAUGUUUCAGAGAGCACAGGGUUGGGGGUAAGGUCACAGAUCAACAAGAUCCCAAGGCAGAAGAAUUUUUCUUAGCGCAGAACAAAAUGAAAAGUCUCCCAUGUCUACUUCUUUCUACACAGACACGGCAACCAUCCGAUUUCUCAAUCUUUUCCCCA